UACGUAGGGUGCGAGCGUUGUCCGGAAUUAUUGGGCGUAAAGAGCUUGUAGGCGGUUUGUCGCGUCUGCCGUGAAAAUCCGGGGCUCAACCCCGGACUUGCGGUGGGUACGGGCAGACUAGAGUGUGGUAGGGGAGACUGGAAUUCCUGGUGUAGCGGUGAAAUGCGCAGAUAUCAGGAGGAACACCGAUGGCGAAGGCAGGUCUCUGGAACGCAACUGACGCUGAGACGCGAAAGCGUGGGGAGCAAACAGG
rnacentral:rRNA from 1 species